rnacentral:rRNA from 1 species
UACGGGGGGAGCAAGCGUUGUUCGGAUUUACUGGGCGUAAAGGGCGCGUAGGCGGCCAGCACAAGUCAGUUGUGAAAUCUCCGGGCUUAACUCGGAAAGGUCGACUGAUACUGUGCGGCUAGAGUGCAGAAGGGGCAACUGGAAUUCUCGGUGUAGUGGUGAAAUGCGUAGAGAUCGGCAGGAACACCCAGGGGGAAACCAGCCGACUGGGCAAGUGCUGACGCUGAGGUGCGAGAGCGUGGGGAGCGAACCGG